GGAGCGGCUUUAGCUCAGCGGUUACUUCGACAAUACUUUCUAUGGUGGAAAACAGCUACUCGUGUGUGGUUCGAGACCCGCGGGCGCUCUCCGGCCUUUAA
rnacentral:vault_RNA from 1 species